UGAUAGUAACUGCAGCUCUGCAGGAAGGUGACCUUUGAUGCUGUCCUUGCUGAUGAACCUUUAAUGGAAUACUUGACCAUAUGUUCAUUGUCCUGCUGAAGUCUGUCUGCUCAGACUGACACUACUGAAGUCUUCCAGCUCAGGUUGACACUAUUGAAGUCUCCAGCUCAGGCUGACACUACUGAAGUGUCCCAGAUCGGGCUGACACUACUGAAGUCUCCAGCUCAGGCUGACACUACUGAAGUCUCCAGCUCAGGCUGACACUACUGAAGUGUCCCAGAUCGGGCUGACACUACUGAAGUCUCCAGCUCAAGCUGACACUA